CGGUUUAAUAUUUUCAACAGUUCUCAUCGAAUCGAUUUUCCAACUUACACAAUACAAGUACGAAUAAUAAGUGCAUUUAAGUCGGUACACACAAGUACGAAAAUUCACAAAACGCAAAAAGUUAGGAUAGGUACAUGGAGUUAUUUUAUUUACAUAUGUAUGUAUUACUAAUGCAAAACGAUUCUAGGCGAAGUUUGAUUAAUCGUGUUUUGAUAUGCCUCGAUUUUUACGAUUCCCGUCAAACUUUUAACUUAAAAUGUUUAUAAAAAAAAUAAUACUUUAUUGCACUUGGUUUUUUUUUUCCCACUAAGUCAAACUUACGAUGAACCUCGUGUAAAAUAUUCAAGUAUUUCUGCUCGGUCUAAACAAUUUUAUCCAAAUAAAACUUUAUAAAAUCUAAAACCUAUAGGUAAAUAGCUUAAAAAUAGUAAAAAUUUUUUGGAAAUUUUAUUACGUCUAAAAAAAGUUUAAGUAUUCUUUACCCGUUUCAAGUUUCUAUGUUUAUUUUCAAGCGAAUUACAACAACAAAAAAAGGAAAUCAUAAAUGACAAUAAUAAUAACACUGUUGUUGCUGUAUAUUUUCCCAUUUUUUUCUCCGAAUUUUUCGCCGAUUAUUCCAAAUUAUUCAGAAAACUACAAGGCAAAUCAAAAAAAAAGACUUUCCAAAUGCACCUACAUUAGCAACAAUUGACUUUCAAAAAAGAUCCCGCACUUAAAAACCAGAGCAAUAUUUCCGGUAGAAAAAUUGUAAACAGACAGAAAAAUAAUAAAAUAUCAUAGUAAAACCAAUACAAUUCUUACCGCACUCAAAAUCGAAAACUAUUUAUACAAUGCAGAUUAUUACAGGUAUAUUCACCAAUUAUUUUUUUUCAAACGCCAAUUAUCGCGUGUUAUACCAACGUCAUCGUCGUCGGUCGAGACACGAUAGCAUU